AUCUACCGCUGCCAACCUACCUACUGCUGCCAACCUAUCUAUCACUGCUAAUCUAUCGCUGCUAAUCUAUCGCUGCCAAUCUACCUACCGCUGCCAACCUACCUACCGCUGCCAACCUACCUACCACUGCUAAUCUAUCACUGCUAAUCUAUCGCUGCCAACCUAUAUAGGGUAAAUCAUGGUCCCAUUUGGUCCCAUUUUGUAAAAUGGGACCAAAUGGGACUGGGAUCACUAAUUUAUUAGUAAAACAUGAUCUGGGACUAGAUUUAUAAUAUAAACAGUGUAAAGUGACUAAUUUACUAAACACUAUAUGGGACCAGGACUAAGAUAUCUAAUAAUGGGACUGAGGAAAAAUUUGGUCCCAGUCCCAUGCAUGGUCACACGGCCAGUCUAU
rnacentral:sRNA from 1 species